rnacentral:rRNA from 1 species
UGGGGAAUAUUGGGCAAUGGGGGAAACCCUGACCCAGCGACGCCGCGUGAAGGAUGAAGGUUUUCGGAUUGUAAACUUCUGUGACGCGGGACGAAGAAAGUGACGGUACCGCGAGAGGAAGCCCCGGCUAACUACGUGCCAGCAGCCGCGGUAAUACGUAGGGGGCGAGCGUUGUCCGGAAUUACUGGGCGUAAAGGGCGCGUAGGCGGCCAAAUAAGUCUGAUGUGAAAUACCCGGGCUCAACCCGGGGGGUGCAUCAGAAACUGUAUGGCUAGAGUACAGGAGAGGAAAGCGGAAUUCCUAGUGUAGCGGUGAAAUGCGUAGAUAUUAGGAGGAACACCAGUGGCGAAGGCGGCUUUCUGGACUGUAACUGACGCUGAGGCGCGAAAGCGUGGGGAGCAAACA